AUAUUUCAAAACUUAAAACACACGAAAGAAAAAACACCUAUUUAUUGGGUAAUUAAAAGUUUAAAUAUACGAAUAUACGAUAUUUUUAUUUUCACAAACCCUAGAUUUUUUCCCCCUUUCAAGCCACAGAUCACAAGAAACACAAAUCCAUUUGAAUGAGAAGCACAACUCGAUCAAGACAAGAAAGCAAGAUUCCCCAGUGACCGAAUUCCGCACGAUCAUCGAGGAAGGUUUUGUGAUUUUGAGUUUUGUGGUAGCAUAACAAUCAUGAGAUUCACGAAGGGGGGUAAAGUUGAGGUACUGAUAAAGAAAGAGGUGCCUCCAGGUGAGUGGCAUUGUGCUAGGAUUAUCUCAGAUAAUGGGCGCACUUACAGUGUUGUAUUCGAAGGUUCUUGCAGCAUGGGAAGUGAGGCACUUGUGGAGCGAGUGCCAAGGAAUGCCAUUAGGCCUUGCCCUCCGGUGGGAAGUGUGGAGAGUUGGGCGGUUGGAGAUGUGGUGGAAGUGUUUGAUGUUGGUUCGUGGAAAAUAGCCAUGGUUUCGAAGGUCUUAAGCUGGGAUUAUUAUUUGGCUAGGCUAUUGGGAUCUCAUGAGGAGUUCAAAGUUCACAAAUCCAACAUCCGGGUGCGUCAGUCUUGGCAAGAUAAUGAAUGGUUUGUGCUUGGAAAGGGUCAAGGGAGUUUUGAGGUGGUGAAACGUGACAAGCCGUCUAGCUUGAACUGUCAUCAUAUGACUUCUGAGUUUCCGCAAUUUAAUACAAGGAGAAAGAUGCAGACAGGAAAUAAUUGUUUAGCUGCUCAAGACAAUACUUGUUUCCAGGAGUCUCAUAUUGUCUCAUCAAGAACAUUGAAGAGAUUUUCCCCUUAUUUCUCCUCUCAUAUUGAAGCAAAUACCAAAAAAGUGAGAGGAAUCCAGAAAGAGGGUGAGCAUAGAAGACUGAUUUCAGAGUCUGUAUCCCCAUUGCUGGAAAAGGAGUGUUAUUGAUGAAACCCCUACUUUUUCCAGGGCCAAAGUUGGAGGCUUGCAUGCCUUGCUUCCAAAGGUCUGAAGAUGAUGCUGGGUUUUGCUGCCUUUCUCUGGGAUUAUACAAUUUGGGCAAGAACUGCAUCCAAUUUUACACAAGAUGAUAGAUUUCCACCGUGUGGUAUCAUUAUUUAAUCUGGUUCAAUGAUAUAGUUGAUUUCAGGUCUGCUUGGAACCAUGGACACACGUGGUGCCAAUGUGAAAUCAGUUUUUGAAACAGCUGGGAGAUCAAUCUUGAUAUGAAGGUCACUUGAUUAUCAAGUCCAACCAUGGAGUUCCUCGGGGUUUGCUGAUGAUGAGUACGAUAGCUGAUCCAAUGGAGGGCGAAUUUCAUGAAAUCCAAUUAUUCAGUGAAUUUUAGGUCUUGGAAUUCUUACUGUUCGGUCAAAUUGACAAAGUAACUAAAGGCAUCUCUGUUUCUUAAAACCAAGUAGUUUUCCCAACUUGUAGAAGGACGCAGUGCGAAGAUUUGGACGAUAUUCAUAGGGAAUAUAUGGACAUUGAAGCACCUCAACAUUGGAAAAGGUAAGCUGAAGAGGACUGCAUAGACGGGUGACAAUCUGACUGAUACUGAAGAGCAAACACAUGCUAUAAUUGAUAAUUGUUCUAGAGAUCGAUGGACUGAUCAACAGCAUUGUCUUGCAAAGAUGAUUUGGAAUGGAUAGUUCCGGUCGCAUUAGUUGGGAUUAUUACGGUCUUUUUAAUGACAAAUGAUCUGCGUCGAACCUCUUUCCAUUAUUAGUAAGAGUGGGUGUUUGGAUGAUUCUAACUUGGGAAUUUGAAAGGGAAAGUGUAUCUUAGACUAUUAUCCUGUAUGGUGAGCUAAUGGUCUGUAAACUUUCUCGUGUUUUCAUGUCUUGUAACAUAUAUUGUUACAUUGCCCGUGCUCUGUCCAAAAA